AAACCAACACCAAUUAUUUACGAAUUCCGUCGUUUCGACGGUCUUUACAAACUGAUACCUAGGUGUUUGGCCGGACAUGGAUUCGGUAACAGACAUGCUAUUCGGAAAACCAAACAUACAAUAAGGCAUAAAUAAAAAAAUAGCAAUCAAAAUAAAACCUGGAUUAUGAAUUGAGAACUGGAACUGAAUCUUGAUUCUUCAAAUAAAAUAAUAUCGGCAGGCUUUUGUCAUGAGUAACCGUUACAAUUGAAUUUAAAUGCGUAAAUAAU
rnacentral:lncRNA from 1 species